AAUGAUGAUUCUUCCGAUGUGGAUCGCGUAGGCUUGAGUGUGAGCUUUGAAUGCCGAGCGGAAGAGAGUAGUUGAGCUUGAAAUCAGUUGGGAAACUUGAAAGCACUUGAUUUCUUCACUUGAAUGCACUAACUCCCUUGAACCUCUUUUUCUUUCUUCUCUCUUGAAUGAUCUUGCUUUGGGUUGGUAAGAAGUUAUUGAGAAGCACUUAGGAGCUCCCUUUUAUAGCCCAAAAAGCAAAUAUAGCCGUUAGAGAUAAAGUAAAAGAGAUUUGAAAUUCAAAUCAAACCUGCAAAAGUUGUCAGACGCGACCCAGGCGCUCCGGAGACGUCUCCGCUUCAACGCGAGACGUCUCGGCUGUAUAAAUUUACUUUUCACUUUGUUUGGGGUCGACUCGGCACUUUACGGGGACGACUCCGAUGAUGAACGGUUUGAAUCCUUGUUUUUCUAUUUUUCUGAGAGGGUCGUCUUGGCGCUUUACAGGGACGUCUCGGCUUGUUUGCACUUUUUGCAUGGGGACGACUCCGCUGCCUUGGGGACGACUCCGUCGUUAUAACUCCGAAAAACAUGUCUUCUGAAAUUCUCUGAGAGAGUCGACUCCGCUCUUUCAGGGGAUGUCUCCGCUGCCUUAACUCCGAAAAAGACAUCCUCUGGAAAACCCUGAGAGAGCCGACUCCGCUACACUGGGGACGACUCGGAAACUCAGCUUUUUAACUUGCGGGGACGACUCCGCGUACUGUGGGGACGGCUCGCGCGUAUCACUUGAAAUCUGCCUUUCUGCCGCCACUGAGAGAGUCGACUCCGCUACUGAGAGAGUCGACUCCGACCCUGCGAGAUGCCUCGCCAGGUGCCGGGGACGUCUCCAAGUGUGCCAGUUCUUCCGGUUUGUGCCAGAGACGUCUCUGAGACUAUCCGGAGACGUCUCGGCUGUCCCUGAUCUAUUUUCUUCAUCUCAAAAAUUCUUCAAUAAAUCCUUAAAAAUUAUGGGAACUUGCCUAGACAUUUCUUAACAAUAUUCUUAAUAAAACACAUGAAUUCCUCAAUUAAAUUGUUAAGAUAAAUGGAAUUAUACUCUAGUGUUUUGUAUUCAUCAAAACCCAUUAGGGGGUCA
rnacentral:lncRNA from 1 species